UGGAAGUAAAAGUCGUAACAAGGUCUCCGUUGGUGAACCAGCGGAGGGAUCAUUACCGAGUUUACAACUCCCAAACCCCUGUGAACAUACCUUAAUGUUGCCUCGGCGGAUCAGCCCGCGCCCCGUAAAACGGGACGGCCCGCCAGAGGACCCAAACUCUAAUGUUUCUUAUUGUAACUUCUGAGUAAAACAAACAAAUAAAUCAAAACUUUCAACAACGGAUCUCUUGGUUCUGGCAUCGAUGAAGAACGCAGCAAAAUGCGAUAAGUAAUGUGAAUUGCAGAAUUCAGUGAAUCAUCGAAUCUUUGAACGCACAUUGCGCCCGCUGGUAUUCCGGCGGGCAUGCCUGUUCGAGCGUCAUUUCAACCCUCAAGCCCCCGGGUUUGGUGUUGGGGAUCGGCUCUGCCCUUCUGGGCGGUGCCGCCCCCGAAAUACAUUGGCGGUCUCGCUGCAGCCUCCAUUGCGUAGUAGCUAACACCUCGCAAGUGGAACGCGGCGCGGCCAUGCCGUAAAACCCCAACUUCUGAAUGUUGACCUCCGGAUACAGGUAGGGAAACCCCACAA
rnacentral:rRNA from 2 species